rnacentral:sRNA from 1 species
GAGCAGAAGAUUGUGAAGAAAGUCUUGAAAAUACAGAAAACCAAGGACAAGUCAGCCUCAAAGUAGACAACUCUUGGAAGUGGAAGCAAGGCGAUGUGCUAUAAACAAGGAAAACAUUUUUGUUGAUGGUGAUGAUCAAUGGUCUAGCCUCUUCUAGCUGAAUGUUUUAGUAUAACUGUCUGAGUUUGGAGUACUUGAAAUCCGUCUACCAUUGUGAUGCACUUGAUGUCAAAUGUUGCUGAGACAUAUUUGAUCCGCUCUUUUGUUCACUUCUCUGAAUUGCGAAUGAAUUUUACUUACUUG